ACUGAGGCCUAAUUGAACUGGCGCCGUGCUCCCCGGUGGUAUCAGAGCGGUGGCUGCAUGCCUCCCAUUUUUCUCUUUUUUGAACAGCAGUGUGCACAGUGCUUAUCCUGGGCGUGUCCCACCACUGUGUAUUAGAUGCGGUUGGCAGAUGGCUUGUCUCUUGAUUCAUGGGUCUUCAGAUUGCCAGGAGCUUCGUCUGGAGAACAGCACCCAAGGAGCCUCUGCUGCUGGACCUGAUUUAUGUGUCCAGAUCGCACCCUCAAGCCUGAGCGUGAGGCUACAGCAGCUUUAUAAUCCUGUGAUGUCCUACAACCACAGACCUCCGGUUCUCUUGAUAUUCAAGACUAGACUGCUGAAACCUUCCAGCCAAGAGACACGUCCCGUAGAAUCCGGAGUCUCUCAGUAAAAUGAAGCAUCUUCUAUAGUAUGGCCAAAGACAUAUUUCCCGUCUACGUUUCUAAUUCUUCCAGUCCCAGAAAUACACUGGUGUCCAUCAAUUACAUUUCAUCCUUUGGAAGAUGAGCAUUGCUAGGGAUGACUGCCUCAGUGCACUGGCCUAGUUCAACAUGCACGCGCCCCCUCACUGUCCAAGAAGAGCCCACAACAUUGCCUCAGGCUUGUCUGGAAUUGCACAACAACCGGCUGGAAAGUCUUCCUGUAGAGUGGUUUCACAAGAUCAGCAAGCCGUACCUAUGGAGAGACCCACAUGGCAAGGGAUGAAGGUUCCGGCAAACAACCAGAGAGGACCUGAGGCCUAGAGCCUAACAGUCCAGGAGGAACUAACUCUUGCCAAGAACCCAAGACAAUGUCUUCAGUGUUUGGUCACCUGAGAACUUGCUAAAAAUGCAAACUUUCAGACUCACAUCUCAGAUCUAUGAAGUCAGGUCAGCUUGCCUAGAGAAGGAAUUACACUGGCCCAGAAGCACUCAUUCUUUAGAGAGAGAGAGCAUGAGGGAGAGG